rnacentral:lncRNA from 1 species
CCUCCCUCUGCUGCCUUUUAACAAGAGCAGAAUCUCCAAUGCUCUCUGUGCUCAAAAAGAAGAGGAAAGAAGCUCAUCUGAGGGAACCCAGGAAUUUGGGGAGCUGGGAUACGCUCCAUCAUUUGGAGAGUGACAAAUUCUACCCGGCUUCCAAGAAGACACUCAGAGAAGUGAAGACUGAGGGAGGGGGCUGUGUUGAGAGGCUCGCACAGUCACUGGGCACCUUCUUGGUUCCCUCUUGCUUAGUCCUGGGUGGCAGUCGCCCAGAUGCAGGGCAACCGGUUCUGCAUUUCACAUCUGAGCUGCCCAGAAGCUGUGACUUCCAAAGCCUGCAUUUCCACUAGCUGCAGCGGCUGCCUACCUGCAGGUCGGGAGAGCCAGUUGGCCUGCGAGUCAAAGCCACAUUUGAGUACCGGGUGGCCCUUUCUCCACUGAGUCCUGGCAACAGGUUGCACCCCACAGCACAAUGCCAGCCUCUUUCCGGGCGCAGCGGCUCUCAGUGAAGCGCGAAGCCCAGGUUCCAGUCAAAGAAUUGCCAAGUGAGUACACACAGCGUUUCCAGCUCAUUUCCCUGCAUUAUCCCAGAACUCUUGUUUAUUCUGGAAAACAGCGGUCCCGAGCAGAGCAGCGCUGGAGAAUCAUUUCUACUUUAUUUGGGAGAGCGCUUCUUCACGCCAGAAUCCCAUAAACUGAAGUCUUCCAGAUUAUAAUCACACGUGUUAGUGUUGGGAACUAAGGCAGGGAUUUACUGACAACACUCAAACAUUUCAUUUUUUUUAUUCGUUCCACCUAGCAGAGAUUCAUUCAUGUAUUCACUCAUUCAUUCAUUCACUCAUUCAUUUGUUCACUUAUUCAUUCAACAGACAUCAGGCCAAGGGGCAUUCUUCCAGGCACCAAUGAUUAAGCAGGGAGCAGGGAGCAGCGAGCUGGGGACCCACCUGCCUUAUGGGCACAUGGUCCAGUGAAGAAGUUUGGGGAUUUUGACUCUGCCACUGAAUUGAUCAACUCACCCCUUGCCUGUCACAGCCUUCUGACAUACAAAAAAGUAAUCAAAAAAGCUCCAUUGCCUCCAUCAAAAUUAUCAACAAAAAUGUCACAUGGGCCCCUGCUGCUGACAAAAUCCUCAAGCAAAGCAAGAGAACACCCCUUCUGGAUUGAGAGCUCCCUGAACCCCAUACCCUGGGUCCUCUUUCAAAAUUUGCCCCUUUCUCCGAUUGCCUAAGACAUUCUGCAUUCUCGCGUCUGGGGAACACACUUUAUCCUCUUCUUUCUUAUUCCUACCAGACUGAGAGUGAUGAAAGCUUCUUCUCAAAUCAAUUUCUGCCUAGGAGAACACCUAGAUGGAUGGGGAAAGCUGCCUACCUUGCCCCCAACUAGCUGUGCAACUUGGGACCAACCAAUUCAUCUCUCCACUCUUUAUCUGCUCAUCUAGAAAAUAAGAUAAUACCAUAUUCUUCUGAGGGUUGUUGUCAGAAUUGCAGGAGACAAGGUGUUGGAUAGUGAUUCUGUCUGAACAUCCUUUGCACCUUUGUUUCCUGAAAGCUUUUCCUCUUCCCCAGCUAUCUCCUAGUCAUCUUCAGCUGAUUUGAUGCUUUUACUGCAUAUCACACUUUCCUGGUUGCCUGUAUCCCUGUAGGAAUUAAACAGCUUGUUGUGUGCAUUUUUAUUCAUGCUGGCCUGUUGCCUACUAGACCAUUGGUUCUAAGGUGCGAGGUCCACACGUAUGGCCCCAUCACCGAGAACAGCAUUAGGCACUUUGUACAGGCAGAGUUUAUAUUGUUGAAAGGAUCAAGACAUGCAUGAUUUAAUUAAAACAUUGAUGCAUUCAUGUAUUGUUUGUGUGUUAAUUUCUGUGAAACAUUUUUUAAAAAUCAGAUCCUGAGUCAUGAAAGUGAGACAAAAAUUAGACUUGGCUUUUGCCUAUGGCAACUUUGCCAACCUCAUAACCCACCAGAAGCAUAAACACUAUGUGCAUCAAAUUUAGAUAACUCCACCAAACAAAGGCAAAGCAGGAUUGAUUGUGGAAAGUAAGCUGAGAAAUAACAAAGUACAUUCUGUGCAGUGUGAAGAUUAAAUGCAUAUGAAAUACCCAUCUUGCCAAACUGCCUUCAGCCAAAUUUUGCAAUGCAGGCCAGAAAUCAGGAACCAUUCCCUGACUCGAGGAGAGUCUAAGAAAUCCAAGAAUGAUCCCCUCCCAAGGAUUUCAAAACAACAAGCCAGGAAGGGUACUUUUCUGAUGCCUUCUGUAUGAAAGAAGAGUUCCAAGAUAAUGCCUGCUGUCCUCUGACUGCCUUUCUGAUGAGCAACAA